GAUCAUGGCGUCAGGAUGAACGCUAGCUACAGGCUUAACACAUGCAAGUCGAGCGGAACACCUUCGGGUGUUUAGCGGCAGACGGGUGAGUAACACGUAUCCAACCUUUCCCUUACUCGGGUAUAGCCUCGGGAAACUGAGAGUAAUCCCCGAUGUGGUGCACGGAAAGCAUUUUUUGCGCACGAAAGAUUAAUCGGUAAGGGGUGGGGAUGCGUUCCAUUAGGUAGUAGGCGGGGUAACGGCCCACCUAGCCGAUGAUGGAUAGGGGUUCUGAGAGGAAGGUCCCCACAUUGGAACUGCGACACGGUCCAAACUCCUACGGGAGGCAGCAGUGAGGAAUAUUGGUCAAUGGGCGAGAGCCUGAACCAGCCAAGUAGCGUGCAGGAUGACGGCCCUAUGGGUUGUAAACUGCUUUUGUGCGGGAAUAACGGUCGCCACGUGUGGUGAUGUGCAUGUACCGUACGAAUAAGGAUCGGCUAACUCCGUGCCAGCCGCUGC
rnacentral:rRNA from 1 species